CCUCAAUUUGGCUUUUUGACCUUAAAUUUGAAUCUCAAUUUAGUGCAUAAACCUGAUAAGUGUUCCCAAGGAGUAUAUGUCCCAAUUCUGUGUGACCAUCUGAUUUGUGAUUAUCUGCCAGUAAUGCCAAUCGCUGGUUCUUGUUUUUUUUUUAAAGUGACACUCUAAGCACUAAAAUAACAUUAGCUUUUAAGGAAACAGUUUUGAUGUAUAGAUCAUGCCUCUAAAGUUUCACUGCUCAAUUCUCUUCCAUUUAA